rnacentral:misc_RNA from 1 species
CUCAUAUCAGCGUCACAAGUAGAAAAGUAAAGGCAGAUAAUCUUUCUUCUUAUCAUGUGAGUCAUUGCCCAUUAAUAGUUACUGGAAUUCAGCUCAACAAUGCAUUAACUCUCCAAGUUGGUAGUUUUUUAUUCGUUAUCCUUGAUGCUAACAUUUGAUGAAUAAUGAGAACAUAUCAGAUAACUAAAAAUAUGAGAAAGUAGUAAGCUUCUUUCAUUCAAGUACCUCUUCUUGUGCUAUUACUUUUCCUUGUGAAGUUAGUUCGUGUUUGAAGAAUCAUUGUCUGAUUUUGCAUUUCUUGAAUGAAAGUGAUGUUGCCAGCUUAGUCAUAAGUUUACUUCUUGAAACCGACACUUAUAGUUUUGACCAGUUCUGUUUAAAUAAUUACCUAUAUUGGUCUGACACCCUGUAGUUUUAGCCUGGGCAG